rnacentral:tRNA from 1 species
GCCUUCGUGGUGUAGUGGUCAGCGCGUUUGACGCGUAACCGAGAGGUCCGUGGUUCGAUUCUCGGCGAGGGCA